CAUUAUGAGAGUUUGAUCCUGGCUCAGGACGAACGCUGGCGGCGUGCCUAAUACAUGCAAGUCGAACGCUUUUUCUUUCACCGGAGCUUGCUCCAUCGAAAGAAAAAGAGUGGCGAACGGGUGAGUAACACGUGGGUAACCUGCCCAUCAGAAGGGGAUAACACUUGGAAACAGGUGCUAAUACCGUAUAACACUAUUUUCCGCAUGGAAGAAAGUUGAAAGGCGCUUUUGCGCCACUGAUGGAUGGACCCGCGGUGCAUUAGCUAGUUGGUGAGGUAACGGCUCACCAAGGCCACGAUGCAUAGCCGACCUGAGAGGGUGAUCGGCCACACUGGGACUGAGACACGGCCCAGACUCCUACGGGAGGCAGCAGUAGGGAAUCUUCGGCAAUGGACGAAAGUCUGACCGAGCAACGCCGCGUGAGUGAAGAAGGUUUUCGGAUCGUAAAACUCUGUUGUUAGAGAAGAACAAGGAUGAGAGUAGAAUGUUCAUCCCUUGACGGUAUCUAACCAGAAAGCCACGGCUAACUACGUGCCAGCAGCCGCGGUAAUACGUAGGUGGCAAGCGUUGUCCGGAUUUAUUGGGCGUAAAGCGAGCGCAGGCGGUUUCUUAA
rnacentral:rRNA from 1 species